GAUUGGCUUUGGGUGUUUCUUCAAAGUUAAAUCCACCAUGGAACUUCAGCUUAGAUUUUCAAAUAAUACAACCUUAGAAGUAACUAUUUGAGUCAGACUUUCUACUUGUAGGUACAGAACGUCUCCUCCUAUGGAUAAACGCCAAAUUAUUGUUAUGAGAUCAGAAAAGCCGUCAAGAUCUAAGGAAGCUGGAGGUGAACGAAAGAAGCCUGUGGAAAUCUUCCACUCAAAUAGCAUAUACUGCUCUCAGAGAAGUUAUUAUAACUAUAGAUAAAGGGGGAAAGAACAGACAAAGCUUUUGGCUUUGUAUUUUUUUGUAUCAUCAGUCUUGCCUUUGUGAGGAUAUACGAUGUUCUUGCAUCAGCAGCAGUUAGAUUUUUUUCCCACUGGAAACAUCAAGUACGGACUGUGAUAUAGAGUGUCCAGGUAAAGUCAUGGAGGCUGCAAGAUGUCAUAGGAGAAAAUGUGGCCAUGUGAGAUCUAAGCAGCCCAAAGCAACUAAGUUUCCCCAUGCCAAAAUGAUGCAGAAGAGAGGCUGGAUUCCUGCAUGCCUAAGAGCACUCAGGAGGAGUGAAUUCUACCAGUACCCAGCUACCCAGCCACCCAGCGGGACAUGGAGGGACAGAAUACCUUUUGUGCUCCCAAGGGCCCACUGAUAAGCCCAGGGCCUUAUCAGCCUUAGUAAGUUCCUGUGUCCAAGGAACUGCAUCCAAGAGAGACACAGAAGUAGCAGAAAGAGCCACCCAGCUUUGAAAGAGCUCUGAGAUGAGAACGAAAUGUCCCUAGCAAUGAUCUCUGUUGCCUGAGGACCAGGAACCAGGCCGAAUGAUGGUCAUCUCAGGGGCUUCCAUACAUAAGCCCCCAGGAAACGCAAGGUGUAUAAGAAGAUUAUAUUUCCCAGCCCCCUUGCCUUUCAACAGAGACACGUAAUUGAUUCCUGGCCAAUGAAAUUUGAGCAGAAGGAAUAUACCACUUCUAGGCCUGGGUUCUAAACCCUUCUGUAUGAUCUCCACUUCCUCUCUCCUUUGUCUUGUCAGUGCCACCAGAUUCAGAGGACCUAAGGGAGGAUUCUGAGAUCCAUGUGAAAGGAGCCUGAAUCCGUGAAUAACUACGUGGAGUAGACACCCUUGACCACAAAAGUACAUGGACAUGAGCAAUAAAAUAAGGCUUUGUGUGUU